ACACAGCCAUGUCGCCGCCUUUUGUGA
rnacentral:sRNA from 1 species